UUACUACCAUUAUAUAUUCUACUACCAAUCCCUAUUUUUUUAGUAGUAUUUGUAUGGAUUUUCCAAAAUGCAUUAUUUUUGUUUUGAUUUUUAUGACAGAUGACUUACAAAACAUAAUCUUGAAAGACAAAUAUUUGUAUCCUUAAGGAAUAAUUUAGCAGAAGCUCCUGCUCCACCAUGAGUGGUGGUGGAGGUGAUGGCAGGAAGAAAAAAUUAACAUGUGUGAGAGGGAGUAAAAUGGAUAGUUGUCGAUCAUGGGAAAAUUAAUACGGUUCUCUUUGUUAAAAAAUAGUGGAUAAUUGAUAAGUUAGUUUAUAGCGGAUGAACUUAUAACGAAUAGUUUAUAAUCUAAUUUUUUAUUUAUAGCAAAUAAGUUAACUGAUUGAUUUUGUAGUGUUU
rnacentral:lncRNA from 1 species